CCUAGAGUGUGAACUCCCUGAGGGUGGUGACUGCGUUCUUAUCUUUGUAUUCUUAGUUACUGAUGUCCCUGCAGUGCAGAAAAUGUUUGUUGAAUGAAUGUCUGAGAUUCCAAGUUUAGCGCUUCUUUCUCCUAGGUGCAGAUUUAGUCUGGGGAAAGAUGAGGCCUUCAAAUGAUUUUAGUCAUUGAUACUUUAGUAUGAUUCAAUCCAGGAUUUGAUGAUAGUUCUGAGAGAGGUAGAAACUGGGAAUGGGAGGGACGCUAGGCCAACAGCUGGGGUCCGAACCUGUAUGUUCAAGGAUGGUGAGAUGCCAGGAUGAAGAGGAGGGAAUUCUGGAUGGGAGAGGUUCCCGGAGGACUAGAAGGCAAAGGCUGUGUGGGCCGUCUUGCCAGGCCCUCGGGUGGAGGAAGGAAGGGGCAGCUUCCGGGUGUGCCAGGCACGCCGCGUGCCGAGGGUGCAGGACGCUGACCCCGCGUUGCACGUCCCACGGGCCGGAAGCCGGCUGGCCCGACGCCGCCGGGGGGCUUCCUCGCUUUGCAGCGCCGGAAGCGGCGGCCGGCGGCGGUCUGGGCCAGGGCCGUUCCGACCGUGUCAUCCUUGCCCGCGGCGGCGCAGGAAGCCGGUGUGGAGCGCACCGAAGCCUGGGGCGCGGGGCCUCCGCCGGGCGUGGUGCGUGGCCCUCGGCUCUCAGCGCAGACGCGCGCGCCCAGAGCGGCCGGGCCGGCUGGGGCCUGCCCUGCGGUCGCCCCGCCAUCUCCCUGUCUCCUCGAGUCCUUGGAGACUCUGGCCCCUCACUGUCUGCCUCUGCUAAGCCCUUCCUCGAAGGCCUGUCCUGGAAGGGAAGAGAGGAUCCGCCCCGAGACGGCGGGACCCGCUGCAGCUUCCUGUGGUCGCAAGAAGGCGUAGCUAAGACGGUCUCUAGGCAGGGGCGACAUUGGAGACGAGAGUGAUGAAUGGAGAACAAAUCACAGAUGGUGAGUGUGUGCCCACCAUUCCACAUAUAUUCUGCACAGGUGUGCCCACACAUUCACAUGCAGUUGUUCACGUGUGUCCUCACUGGUGUGUGCAAACACGCACACUCCCCCACACCCACCCC
ensembl:lncRNA